UACGAAGGUGGCUAGCGUUGUUCGGAUUUAUUGGCGUAAAGGGUCCGCAGGCGGUUUGAUAAGUCAGGUGUGAAAUCCAACAGCUUAACUGUUGACACGCAUUUGAUACUGUCAGACUAGAGUAUGAGAGGGGUGAGAGGAAUUUCCAGUGUAGGGGUGAAAUCCGUAGAUAUUGGAAAGAACACCGGCCGCGAAGGCGUUUCACUGGCUCAUUACUGACGCUCAGGGACGAAAGCUAGGGGAGCAAACGGG
rnacentral:rRNA from 1 species